UAGGAUUUUCAUGUAACACCUCAAUAGUCCCGCUUCAGAUGAAAAAAAAAAUUCUUAUUGGGAUUAUAAGGCCAUGCACUCUAGUAAUAAUAAUUAGGUUUAAGCAUUUUGGGUCAGUGAUUUGGACCCAACGAGCAACGAUUUAAGUGCUGUGGCACGGGAUUGUGCCGAAAACUUGCCGGCACGGUAUGGCAUGGUGCUUGCCGGGCCGUACCGAUGUGUCGGUCACAAAAAAUGUGUCGACGCGUAAUGGUAUAAAAUAUUUAUUAUUUUUUGCAACAAAAUAUGCCAAUUAUUUAUUAUGUAUUUCUAUCAAUUUUUUUAAAUUUUAUUAAGAAAAUUACUUACUAAUUUAAAAAAUAGAGGGUUUUGAGUUGUGCUAUCGACACGGAGGUUGUAUCGUGUCGAUAUCUUACUGACACGAUAUAGCACGGUGGAUACAGCCCGUGCCGAUUAGCACUUUAAUCCUUGCCAAUGAGUUAUUAUUGCUAACGGGUCGGACGGGUCUGGUUGGGUCGUUACUUUUGGUAUCAGAGCUGGUUAUUAUUGAGGCAAGAUCUUUUUCAUAUUUUUGGAAUUAUUAUUUGUGUUAAUUCAUUUUAAUGUUGUUUUUAGGUUUUUCGAUUUUUCAAGAUGGAAUAAAUUCCUAAAAAUUGGGGAUAUGAAUAUGGAAGUUUUAAAUUACAACUAGAUUUAUUUUUAUUAGAAAAAUUACUAAAAUUAAGGGAUUUGAUUAGGAUUAGAAUUUGGAUUUUUAAUAUAAAUAGGGUUAAAGGUUGUGUAGGGAGCAAGGAUUG
rnacentral:lncRNA from 1 species